ACAGUACAAACUGAUCAGACCAUUGGCUUAGCCAAGGAGUCGGGCCUUAGAGCGGCAGUGAGAUUAUAACAUCCACGGGACAGUA
rfam:Eubacterium sp. CAG:603 genomic scaffold, scf74